UAGGCGCACUCGAGUGAGGAGUAAUGUUUCAAAGCAGUUCCUUUUGACUGCUUUGAGGCAUUGUCCCUCACUUGGGGGCUGCAAU
rnacentral:pre_miRNA from 1 species